rnacentral:rRNA from 1 species
GGCGAACGGGUGAGUAGCGCAUCGGAACGUGCCCAGUAGUGGGGGAUAGCUCGGCGAAAGCCGGAUUAAUACCGCAUACGACCCAUGGGUGAAAGCGGGGGACCGCAAGGCCUCGCGCUAUUGGAGCGGCCGAUGCCCGAUUAGCUAGUUGGUGAGGUAAAGGCUCACCAAGGCAACGAUCGGUAGCUGGUCUGAGAGGACGACCAGCCACACUGGGACUGAGACACGGCCCAGACUCCUACGGGAGGCAGCAGUGGGGAAUUUUGGACAAUGGGGGAAACCCUGAUCCAGCCAUGCCGCGUGCGGGAAGAAGGCCUUCGGGUUGUAAACCGCUUUUGGCAGGAACGAAACGGCGCGCGCUAAUACCGCGCGCUAAUGACGGUACCUGCAGAAUAAGCACCGGCUAACUACGUGCCAGCAGCCGCGGUAAUACGUAGGGUGCAAGCGUUAAUCGGAAUUACUGGGCGUAAAGCGUACGCAGGCGGCUGUGCAAGACAGGUGUGAAAUCCCCGGGCCCAACCUGGGAACUGCACUUGUGACUGCAUGGCUAGAGUCCGUAAGAGGGGGGUGGAAUUCC